GAUGAACGCUGGCGGCGUGCUUAACACAUGCAAGUCGAACGAUGAAGCCCAGCUUGCUGGGUGGAUUAGUGGCGAACGGGUGAGUAACACGUGAGUAACCUGCCCUUAACUCUGGGAUAAGCCUGGGAAACUGGGUCUAAUACCGGAUAGGAGCGUCCACCGCAUGGUGGGUGUUGGAAAGAUUUAUCGGUUUUGGAUGGACUCGCGGCCUAUCAGCUUGUUGGUGAGGUAAUGGCUCACCAAGGCGACGACGGGUAGCCGGCCUGAGAGGGUGACUGGCCACACUGGGACUGAGACACGGCCCAGACUCCUACGGGAGGCAGCAGUGGGGAAUAUUGCACAAUGGGCGAAAGCCUGAUGCAGCGACGCCGCGUGAGGGAUGACGGCCUUCGGGUUGUAAACCUCUUUCAGUAGGGAAGAAGCGAAAGUGACGGUACCUGCAGAAGAAGCACCGGCUAACUACGUG
rnacentral:rRNA from 1 species